rfam:Picea glauca, whole genome shotgun sequence.
AGGUACAAUCAUACCAGCGUUAAUGCACCAGAUAUCAUCGAAACUCUCCAAUUAAGGGUGCUUGGGCUAGAGUGGUACUGGGAUGGGUGACCUCUCGGGAAGUCCUAGUGUUGCAACCC